rnacentral:rRNA from 1 species
GACGAACGCUGGCGGCGUGGAUUAGGCAUGCAAGUCGAACGGUAUCAUCCUUUCGGGGGUGAGAGAGUGGCGAACUGGUGAGUAACACGUAGGUUAUCUACCCUCAAGACGGGGACAACCCAGGGAAACUUGGGCUAAUACCGGAUGUGAGCAACUUUUAGUUGUUUGAAAGGUGGCGUAAGCUGUCGCUUGGGGAUGAGCCUGCGUCCUAUUAGUUAGUUGGUGAGGUAACGGCUCACCUAGGCAAUGAUAGGUAGGCGGCCUUAACGGGUGGUCGCCCACACUGGGAUUGAGAUACGGCCCAGACUCCUACGGGAGGCAGCAGUCGAGAAUAGUCUACAAUGGUCGGAAGACUGAUAGUGCGACGCCGCGUGAACGAUGAAUCCCUUCGGGGUGUAAAGUUCUUUUAUAUGUGAGCAGUGCUUCUUAUAUUAACAGUAUGGGAGAGAGAUAUUAGCAUAUGAAUAAGCAACGGCUAAACUCCGUGCCCAGCAGCCGCGGUAA